AUUGAACGCUGGCGGCAGGCUUAACACAUGCAAGUCGAACGAGUGGCGGACGGGUGAGUAAUGCUUGGGAAUCUCGCUUAUGGAGGGGGAUAACUACGGGAAACUGUAGCUAAUACCGCGUACCAUAGGAUGAGCCCAAGUGGGAUUAGGUAGUUGGUGAGGUAAAGGCUCACCAAGCCGACGAUCCCCAGCUGGUCUGAGAGGAUGAUCAGCCACACUAGGACGGAGACACGGUCCAGACUCCGACGGGAGGCAGCAGUGAGGAAGAUUGCGCAAUGGGGGCAACCUGACGCAGCCCUGCCGCGUGAAUGAAGAAGGCCUUCGGGUUGUAAAGUUCUUUCGGUAGCGAGGCGUUAACUACAGAAGAAGCACCGGCUGACUACGUGCCAGCAGCCGCGGUAAUUC
rnacentral:rRNA from 1 species